rnacentral:rRNA from 1 species
CCCUACGGGGCGCAGCAGUGAGGAAUAUUGGUCAAUGGGCGUGAGCCUGAACCAGCCAAGUCGCGUGAGGGAAGACGGUCCUAUGGAUUGUAAACCUCUUUUGCCGGGGAGCAAAAAGCGGUACGCGUACCGCAUCGAGAGUACCCGGAGAAAAAGCAUCGGCUAACUCCGUGCCAGCAGCCGCGGUAAUACGGAGGAUGCGAGCGUUAUCCGGAUUUAUUGGGUUUAAAGGGUGCGCAGGCGGCGAGUUAAGUCAGCGGUAAAAUUUCGGGGCCCAACCCCGACAAGCCGUUGAAACUGGCUUG